ACGUCUGUCUGUUCCCAUGACUUCACUUCUGGCUUACAAAAAUACAAAGUGGGGUUUUUUAUAUUUUAUUGCAUAGACCUAUCAGAACACAGUGUUUCAACAACUGGAUAUGUUUGUGAAGAAAUCUGAACUUCAUCAAGAGGAAAGUGAUGCACAAAGGAUUAUUACAAGAACUUCAGAGUAACACAUAAUGAAGUUCUUGGCCACUUCUGCCUGUGUUUCUUAGGGAGUCUUUUUUAAUAUGGACUAGCAGAAAGAACAGAGAGAGGAAAAAGGUCAGGCAGCUGUAAUAGGAAAUUAUGGAAGCACAAGCAAGAGUUCUCACUCUGUGAAUAAAACAGAAACAAACCAGAACUGGUAGGGUCAAAGAGAUAGACCAAUGAAGAGGGACCUCAACAUCUCUACAUUUUUGAGUAAAGAUCAGAGACUCAAGUAUAUAGAAAUAAAGUUUCUACAUUAAGCCUUACUUUUUAUUUAAAAGGCUAUGUAGCUCUGGUAGGAAAGUAGUGUCCCAGGAGUUUUGUCUGGCUCUGUUCAUUCAUGAAUUCAGCUGCCCAUCUCUUUAGACCAUGUUGUUUACAUCUCCAGUUAUUGAAGAUGCCAUACGUUUAUUUUUUCCAUUCGAGAAUCCACAAAAAUAAAAUGCAUUUUAAAGAAAUCAAUCUUCCUCUGUUAGUGAUCUUAGUACACAAGAAGUAACUUUAUUUAAUCAAUAGCAACAAAAGACUAAGCCACAGUACAAAAACGUAAUAGACAAAAUAAUUGUACUAAUAGAAGUACCUACUAGCAUCAGAAGGCCAAAUUAGUAGAAUGAAACGAUGGUCUUUCCUAAAUUAAUUAAUUAAUUAAUUAAUUUUUAAAAAAACCCACCACACGCACAUCACAGAACUGAGAUAGAAAUGUUUUCUCAAACACAACUCUCUUUCAUACACAAUCAAAAUAAAGACAUCUACUUACAAGACAUAUAAAGCCUUGUAAGAAAAACUCAAGUCAAAAUUGUCAUAUUUUCCGUUUUUAGUAUAUAUUCUUUCAUGCUAAUAAUCUAUUAAUCAGACUGUUAAUAAGACUCCUGAUUAAACUCAGAUCCCUUAGAAAGCUCUGAACAAAGUCACGUUAUACAUUUUCUUUUUUUUAAUCCAACUGCCUUUGCAAGGAUUCAUUUCUUUUUUCCUUAUUGAGUAGUCCACCUACAGUCACUCUGUUCCACCUAACAUUUUUGUUCACACAAAAAAGCAAGAACAUACAAUGUUCAGGGAUAAAGAUCACCUACUAAAAUCAGAUCUACGUGCAGAGCCACUAAAAUAAAAUUUCCAAUACUGCAUCAUUUUCAUUUUCUCUGCUGCUACUGCUGAGUGGGGCUUCUUAUAACACACAGCCACAUGUUUAAAUUCAACAGUAUUUGUUUAUAUGCAUCUCUAUCCAGUAUACCCCCUUGGGGAAACUGGUACAGCAUGAAGAGGUGAAACUCGUGCUUGAAUCAUUAACUCUACUUCCUAAUAAAAAGCAAUAACAUGACACAGUAAAUACAGAGGCUACCAUCUUAACUUUCUUUUUCUUUUUACUACAAAUAAGGCAGAUAAAUUCAAAAUCUUCUCUCUUCAUUCUCAGUAAGUUAUUCAUACAGCACAAACACUGACACUGCAAAUGUUUCAAAAAAACUAAUCUCCAAGUAUUGUUUGCAGGGCAUUUCAAACAAGAAAAGCACCCAGAACUAUUAUUUAAUGAAAUCUUUCAGUUCUCCCUGCUCUUUAAAGGUUCAUGGAGCCAGACAAUUCUAGCACCAGUGGGCAAAGGUGGAGAUGAAAUACCUCAAGCAUUUCUGCUCCAGUUAGAGCUAUUUGAACAGCCUGUGUAACAGUUUAAUGAAGUUUAACAUCAAGUUAACUUUUCAUAGCUGACUGACACCAUUACUCUCCCUGUGAGUACAGCCAGCUGGCGUACACAAUAGCUUCAGGUGUGAUGUCUGUGAAGGGGACUGUCCACAAGACAAACCAGUGUUGAUAGUCUAAUUAUUUUAGCAGAAAAUCUGCCUGCUUAUUCUUAUUGUUCCAGUAGCAGACACAGACAAUGACCGAUUCACAGAAAAACUAACAAGGCUGCCUGGCAAUUACCCAGCCCAAUUACCCCACUGGUAAUUGCAGGACCAGUCAGCUUUCCUUCCACCAGCACAUAUACAUAACUUGCACAUGGUAAACUGCUGCUGCUGCUCUCGUUCUGGUUCAGAGCAAAGGUGACAGUCGAGCACCUGUCA